GACGAACGCUGGCGGCGUGCUUAACACAUGCAAGUCGAGCGGUAAGGCUCCUUCGGGAGUACACGAGCGGCGAACGGGUGAGUAACACGUGAGCAACCUGCCCUUCUCAUCGGAAUAAGCGUUGGAAACGACGUCUAAUGCCGAAUACGACUUCGGAAGGCAUCUUCUGAAGUGGAAAGCUCCGGCGGAGAGGGAUGGGCUCGCGGCCUAUCAGCUUGUUGGUGGGGUAAUGGCCCACCAAGGCGACGACGGGUAGCCGGCCUGAGAGGGUGACCGGCCACACUGGGACUGAGACACGGCCCAGACUCCUACGGGAGGCAGCAGUGGGGAAUAUUGGACAAUGGGCGCAAGCCUGAUCCAGCAACGCCGCGUGAGGGAUGACGGCCCUUCGGGUUGUAAACCUCUUUCAGCAGGGACGAAGCGCAAGUGACGGUACCUGCAGAAGAAGGACCGGCCAACUACGUGCCAGCAGCCGCGGUAAUACGUAGGGUCCGAGCGUUGUCCGGAAUUAUUGGGCGUAAAGGCUCGUAGGCGGUUAGUCGCGUCGGGAGUGAAAACUCAGGGCUCAACCUGAGCGUGCUUCCGAUACGGGCUGACUAGAGGUAUGCAGGGGAGAACAGAAUUCCUGGUGUAGCGGUGGAAUGCGCAGAUAUCAGGAGGAACACCGGUGGCGAAGGCGGUUCUCUGGGCAUUAUCUGACGCUGAGGAGCGAAAGCAUGGGGAGCGAACAGGAUUAGAUA
rnacentral:rRNA from 1 species